rnacentral:rRNA from 1 species
CUGCAACUCGACUACAUGAAGCUGGAAUCGCUAGUAAUCGCAGAUCAGAAUGCUGCGGUGAAUACGUUCCCGGGUCUUGUACACACCGCCCGUCACACCAUGGGAGUCGGAAAUGCCGAAGCCGGUGACCCAACCAAAGGAGGGAGCCGUCGAAGGCAGGUCUGAUAACUGGGGUGAAGUCGUAACAAGGUACC